UACGAAGGGUGCAAGCGUUAAUCGGAAUUACUGGGCGUAAAGGGUGCGUAGGCGGUUCGUUAAGUCUGUCGUGAAAUCCCCGGGCUCAACCUGGGAAUGGCGAUGGAUACUGGCGAGCUAGAGUGUGUCAGAGGAUGGUGGAAUUCCCGGUGUAGCGGUGGAAUGCGUAGAGAUCGGGAGGAACAUCAGUGGCGAAGGCGGCCAUCUGGGACAACACUGACGCUGAAGCACGAAAGCGUGGGGAGCAAACAGG
rnacentral:rRNA from 1 species